AACGAACGCUGGCGGUAUGCCUAACACAUGCAAGUCGAACGAGGCCUUCGGGGCGAGUGGCGGACGGGAGAGUAACGCGUGGGAACCUGCCGCUAGGCUCGGAAUGACUCCCCGAAAGGGGUGCUAAUACCGGAUAAUGUCUUCGGUCAAAAGAUUUAUCGCCCUUGGAUGGGCCCGCGAUGAAUUAGCUAGUUGGUAGAGUAAAAGCCUACCAAGGCGGCGAUCCAUAGCUGGUCUGAGAGGGUGACCAGCCACACUGGGACUGAGACACGGCCCAGACUCCUACGGGAGGCGGGAGUGGGGAAGAUUGAACGACGGGCGAAAGACUGAUCCAGCAAGGGCGCGUGAAGGAUGAAGGCCUUAGGGUUGUAAAGCUCUUUUACCCGGGAUGAUAAUGACAGUACCGGAAGAAUAAGCUCCGGCUAACUCCGUG
rnacentral:rRNA from 1 species